AUAAACGACUCUCGGCAACGGAUAUCUCGGCUCACGCAUCGAUGAAGGACGUAGCAAAAUGCGAUACUUGGUGUGAAUUGCAGAAUCCCGUGAACCAUCGAGUUUUUGAACGCAAGUUGCGCCCGAAGCCAUUCGGCCGAGGGCACGUCUGCCUGGGCGUCACGC
rnacentral:rRNA from 1 species